rnacentral:rRNA from 1 species
GACGAACGCUGGCGGCGUGCUUAACACAUGCAAGUCGAACGAAGUGGCGAACGGGUGAGUAACGCGUAAUCAACCUGCCCUUCAGAGGGGGACAACAGUUGGAAACGACUGCUAAUACCGCAUACUGAAGGAGGGGAUUGCGUCGGAUUGGCUAGUUGGAGGGGUAACGGCCCACAAAGGCGAUGAUCCGUAGGCCGGCUUAGGGGCUGGACGGCAACAAUGGGACUGAGACAAGGCCCAGACUCCUGCGGGAGGCAGCAGGGGGGAAUCUUCCGCAAUGGACGAAAGUCUGACGGCGCAACGCCGCGUGAGUGAUGACGGCCUUCGGGUUGUAAAGCUCUGUUAAGCGGGACGCGGUACCGGAAUAGAAAGCCACGGCUAACUACGUGCCAGCAGCCGCGGUAAUAC